CCUACGGGAGGCAGCAGUGAGGAAUAUUGGUCAAUGGACGAGAGUCUGAACCAGCCAAGUAGCGUGAAGGAUGACUGCCCUAUGGGUUGUAAACUUCUUUUAUAUGGGAAUAAAAUGUUCCACGUGUGGGAUUUUGUAUGUACCAUAUGAAUAAGGAUCGGCUAACUCCGUGCCAGCAGCCGCGGUAAUACGGAGGAUCCGAGCGUUAUCCGGAUUUAUUGGGUUUAAAGGGAGCGUAGGUGGAUUGUUAAGUCAGUUGUGAAAGUUUGCGGCUCAACCGUAAAAUUGCAGUUGAAACUGGCAGUCUUGAGUACAGUAGAGGUGGGCGGAAGUCGUGGUGUAGCGGUGAAAUGCUUAGAUAUCACGAAGAACUCCAAUUGCGAAGGCAGUUCACUGGACUGCAACUGACACUGAGGCUCGAAAGUGUGGGUAUCAAACAGGAUUAGAUACCCUAGUAGUC
rnacentral:rRNA from 1 species